GGGGGCGGGCGGCGCAGCGCCUGUCAGCGGGGCGGCGGGAUGGCGGCGCUCUACGCUUGCACCAAGUGCCACCAGCGCUUCCCUUUCGAGGCGCUCAGCCAGGGCCAGCAGCUCUGCAAGGAGUGCCGGAUUGCGCAUCCCAUUGUUAAAUGCACUUACUGCCGGACUGAAUUCCAGCAGGAAAGCAAAACCAACACGAUAUGCAAAAAGUGUGCUCAGAAUGUGAAGCUCUAUGGCACACCAAAACCCUGCCAGUACUGCAACAUAAUAGCAGCAUUUAUUGGAAACAAGUGCCAGCGUUGCACAAACUCUGAAAAGAAGUAUGGACCUCCUCACUCCUGCGAGCAGUGCAAGCAGCAGUGUGCAUUUGACCGGAAGGAUGACAGAAAGAAGGUGGAUGGGAAGCUGCUAUGCUGGUUAUGCACAUUGUCCUACAAACGGGUCCUGCAGAAGACCAAAGAGCAGUGCAAACACCUGAGCAGCUCUUCCAGGGCAAGCCUGCAAGAGAAGGAACAGUACAGUAGGCUCAGCAGCAGCAGCCACUACAACAGCCAGAAAACCUUAUCCACCUCCUCUAUUCAGAAUGAAAUCCCAAAGAAGAAAGCCAAGUUUGAUGCCAUAUCUGCCAAUGGUGACAGCGUUCCUUCCUCUCCCGAGAUGCUUUGUCCCCCUACCCAGAGUGCCCCGUCCACGCUGGCGCAGUGGGCUGCUUCCCAGCAGAGUCUCGGUGCCCGCCAUUGUCCUGUUUCUCAAGGCACUGACAUCCGGAACUUUUCUCCGGACCUCGCCCUGGACUCUCCUGGCACUGACCAUUUUGUCAUCAUUGCCCAGCUGAAGGAGGAAGUGGCUACUCUAAAAAAGAUGCUACACCAGAAAGAUCAGAUGAUUUUGGAGAAGGAGAAGAAGAUCACAGAGCUGAAAGCCGACCUGCAAUACCAGGAGUCACAGAUGAGGGCAAAGAUGAACCAAAUGGAGAAGACACACAAGGAGGUCAUGGAGCAGUUACAGGCCAAGAACAGAGAACUCCUGAAGCAAGCAGCUGCCCUGUCGAAGGGCAAAAAGCCUGAGAAGUCGGGAGCAAUAACCUCCCCAUAAAACCAAACCCCCAACCUGGGAGCUUUCCCCAGCGUUAGCCAAGGAGUCGAGGAGCCUGCCUGAUCGCUGGAAGCCCAAACCUCAGUGCUCUUGCUAUCCCGCUGCCGUGGACUCGAUGGAAACGCCUGCUGCGUGUUGCCUUUCAACAGCACGGUCGAGCGUGUCUGCUUUCAAUCUCUGAAUACCUCUCUGUAUCACAGUGAUCCACGGGGAGAGGUCCCAGCCCUCCUAAAAUCCCCCCUCAAGUACUGCUUUCUGGAAGAAGCUUUUUCCUAACCAGUUGCUACCACUGCCAGCCCUUUCCAUUAGCAAACAGGAACCUGCUGCAUUAGAGACUUCUUGCCGGUCGUCCUGGACCCGCUGCUGUGAGGCAGGAGCCGUGGCCAGUUCUUACACAGAUAAGACAGGAGCUGCGCAUGGUGGGAGCUUGAUUCUUCUCGGACUGUUCCCUCUUCAAAAGGAAGCCACUAAGUCAUCAGCCCAGUGGAAGGCUGUGCCACUGCUGAGAACGGUUGAUCCAGCUUUUUGAAGAUGCUCCCAACAUGGGGGCUCUGUAUUUAUUUUGGAAGUGUUCUGUUUUGGUUUUGUUUUGUUUUGUUUUGUUUUUUUCUUCUUUUCUAUGUCAGCUUAGCAAACCAAACUGCCCAGUUUUGUGUUUUCUUUUGUUAGGAUAGCUUUCGGCUUGGGAGGCAGAGUGUAAUCAUACAGACCCAAACCUACUUCAUAUCCCCCCGCGGUGCCCUGGUUACUCUCUGACCUUUGGGGCUUUGCUGACUUCCGCAGCUUGAUGAGAUCAAGCGUCUCUUACUCAAUUCCUUCACAUGAGGAGAAUCCAAGGUUUGGAUGUUCCCUCUGUUCCCUGGAUCGAGCUCGCCCCCUUCUCCCCCUUCCCUUGCCCCCUAGCUCCCUUCCAGAUGCAGAAGCAGGGGCCAGGUUGGCUCCAGGAAAGCGCUUACUCAGGCAGCAACCCAAGCCAGGGAGUGUUUCUUGGGGCUCUCCAGGGACAUUUCUCACUGCUGAUUAAAAGCCAGCGGAAUAAAAGGGCUAGGAAGGUUCCCUGCAACAGGGAUGUGCUUCUCGGAACCAGCACAGAGACCACAGACCCUUCCAGCGAGGCCGGCUGGGGUGGGCGCUCCCUGAGCUCCAUCUCUUGGGGUGAUUAAAAAGCACUUGGCUGCUGCUCCUCAGCAUCCAAGCUCCAAUCAGGGUGGGAAGAGCCAGCUCAGGGUUUGAAGACCCAUGGGGCGGAGAAGCAGGGGAGGAAACCUUAGCGCUGAAGGUAGGUAGGGAAGAGGAGAAAUUGUCUUUUUUGAUGCAGGGCUGGUUGCUCUGUCAGGGUUUUUAUUAAGCUUUUAACUAGAGAUUGUGAUUCUUCUUUUUCAUCCUUUUUUUUUUUUUAUGUUACUAAAGAUGACUUAAAGGCACUUUUUUUGAUGAUGUUGGCUUCCGGCAUGGAAGGAGCACACUGCAGCAUCAGAAACGCUGCCAUGGGGGGGCUUGUUCUUCUUUUAAGAGACUUCUGAUGCGAAAACAAGGAAAAAAAAAAGUUACACUUUGCCAGAGUGUGACAGCAGGAAAAUACUCACCUAAUUUUAUACUUCACAUGUUUUUAGAAAAUGAGGUGCAUUGGUGGGGUUGUUUUUUUUUAAAUGAGGGCUUUGCUUUUUCGCUUCCCUCAAGAUACAGAAAUAAAUCGAGGGAGAAAGGCCCUGUCUACGCUAUUAUGGGGUUGUUUUUUUUAAUCGUGAUAAAUUGAUCAUGCGGUUGAGUAGCUGAUGAUUUGUAGGUAAUAACAUUGUUUCUUUGUAUGUUUGUAAUAAUGGAGAUUUUAAAAGGGAUGCUUUGAUUUGUACAAAACUCUUGACAACUGUAGAAGUGUUUUAAAAAAUCCUCCUCUGUCUCUGAUAUUUUCUAUUUCCCUUAAAGCAAAAACAAACAAAAAGCCAGCAAAGCAUCUUUCCCUGCCUGGAACUGAUUUAUCUCCUGCUGGCGGCUGCCUGGUCGAAGCAUCCAGAGUCUGGUGCGUAUGGGAAGGAGACGGCAUUUUGCUAUUGUUUGGUUCUCUCCUACUUUUGUUUCUGUCUUUAAAUCCUCCCGAUCAAGCCUGUUGCUAGGAUCCUUGUUACUUGGUUACAUCCAGCUUCCCAGGACCCAUCCGGCUGUAUCCAACGAGUCUGUUUUCUUCCCCAACCACAUGAAUGAAGACAGAGCUCAGAAACAAUACAGCCCUGGUAGGAAACAAAAAGCCUAGAGAAUAAGCUGUUCUUUCUUUUAAGAUAUAGAUGCAAACGAGAUGAGCAAACACCGUUUGUCACUGUUUAAGUCUUCCUCUUAUCUCAGCCCAGAGUGUGGGGAAAAAACAGGUUUGAGUUUUCUUUAAAGCUUCUCAUUUUCCAGUAGAAAUUUGGGAGCCAAAAACCCUCCCGAGAUUGCCAUUUGGAAGUUUCCCCAUCCUUGUGGGAGGCGCAGUGCUUUCCUCGGGGGGCUGUGGAUGCAGCUUCCCGGUGGGACGAGCAGCGCUGUGCCUUGCCGAGCUUUCCUCGCAGGGCAGAGGGGUUGCCGUGUCCUUGGAGGGCCUGUUGCAGUGGUGCAGGCUGGGAAAAGGCAAACCCUAGCUCUAUUGGAACAAGAAAACCAGUUUUUCCAGCUCAAAAUAAUCUUUCCGUGUUAUAUUUUUCAAAGCUUGGAGUGGCACACAGAGAAUACCCAUUUUUCUGGGAAGCGGGAGUUGUGACACCCAAAUUCACAGAUAAACGCAGGGAAGAAAAACAGUGCCUAUGAAAUCAUUCUCUGCAGUGUGGUUCUUCCAGUCUCUUUGUUCUUCCAGUCUCCUCGGCUUCUCGUCAGGGUCAGGGUUUUCAUCUCAGGUUUGUGGGGUUUGCUCCCUGACUUUGCUGAGCUCUAGUGAGGGGUGAAUGUUCGGCUGCUGAAGCUCUCACAGCCUCGCUGAGUUUCUGCAGCUCAGGGUGAUGCCUUUGUGCUGGGCUAGACCAAAAAUCUAGGUGAGGUCCCUGCCCACGGGCUGAGGCUGCUGGGACACACAGCGAGGGUGUAAAUCAGCGAGAUUUGUUCAGUGUGUCCUGCACCAGGCUGGCUUGGAUGCUUCCUGAGCUGAGUAUUACACGUCUGGUCUUGAGCUGCUCCUCAUUGCUCCUCCUUAGGAGGAGCCGCUCUUGGUUUUCCGACAAAGUUGCCCACAUUGCAAGUUCGCAGCCCGCGCGGCUGCCAAGGGAAGGUGAGCUUGGCACCUCUUUCCCGGUUAACGGUGCCAGCGGCGCUUGGCGUUCACAGGGCGCUUUAUCUGUGCUGAGCGCAGCACAAACCUUGCCUGUCCUGGAAUGCGCCCAGUUAUCCCUGUUUACAGCAGACUGGGAGAGAGAUAAGAGCUGGUCUGCCAAAGGCUGGGCUCCGAGACAGCGGGAGAGCUCAAGAUCCUUACUCCCCACCUCCAGGGCCGCGUCUCCAAGUGGCUGCUCCAUCCCUGCUCUGGUGGAGCUGCAGGGAGGAUUCCAAAGGGGUUGGGGGUAAUUUUUGCCUUUCCCAGCCAGAUUUUGGGGAAAAAUCUGCCUUUGUCUGCUAGCACAGGCUUCCUCCUCACGGUGGUGUAGCCACUGCUUCUAAACCAGCUUGGACCUUGGGCAGACGUGUCCCUGCCCACGGCAGGGGGGUUGGAACUGCGCGAUCUUUAAGGUCCCUUCCAACCCAAAUGAUUCUAUGAAUGUUUGCAGGAGAUAUGUAGAUAUUUCAUUUAUUUGGAGUUGGGAUUGCUUUGUUUCUGUUUCAAAGCUUUAGGAAAAUAUGGUUUCGACAGUAACUAAACGCUUCACUAUUACAUACUGCCCUCAGCUGCUUGCUAGUAGCGACAUCAAGGCCAAAAAAAUGAGACUUUUGGAUUUUUGGUAAGUGUUUUUCUCCAUUCUGCUUGUUUUGGGUGAGCUGCUGUUUGGCUGCCCCUUGCCCGCUUCCAGCAGAGAUCUCUUCUCAAGCUGCAAAUGCUCAAAGCUGCUGCGGAGCUGUUGCUGGUUGGGUUUUCAGGGCACAAUGAAAAAAAAAAAACCUCUUACAAAGUAUUUCUUGAGAUCUUCUCACCGAGAAGAUAAGAUUGGGUACUUUGAAGUAAUUACUUGAAUAAAUAUCUCCUUUCCAAACUUGCAGACCCCCUGGCAAGGACCUGAAACUUCAGUUUGCAAAUGAAUACGAAGCGGUUUGCAGCCUUGGCAGCGUGUAGGGCAGCAGAAAUUAACCCGCAGCAGAAGUGAACCGACUUAACCAGCCACCCAAACCCAUUCCCCCUCAUCCUCUCCCUGUGCUCCCUCAUCCAGAGCCCCUCCCCAGCUUCCCUGGAGCCCCUUUCUGUGCUUGAAGGUCGCUGUCUCCACGAAGAACAAGCACUGAGCUCAAACUGGGACAAAAGCAAGAGAGGCCACAAGCCCUGGCAGCUCGGAGGUGGUGGGAGGUCAUUUCUCUUCGCCAUCCAGAGGAGAUGCUGCCGACAACCCGAGCCAGCCGCUGCGUGGGCUGGCGCAUCGCCAACGGGCGAGGAAAAGUGCUGAG